UACGAAGGGUGCAAGCGUUACUCGGAAUUACUGGGCGUAAAGCGUGCGCAGGCGGUUCUAUAAGACAGAUGUGAAAUCCCCGGGCUCAACCUGGGAACUGCAUUUGUGACUGCAUGGCUAGAGUACGGUAGAGGGGGAUGGAAUUCCGCGUGUAGCAGUGAAAUGCGUAGAUAUGCGGAGGAACACCGAUGGCGAAGGCAAUCCCCUGGACCUGUACUGACGCUCAUGCACGAAAGCGUGGGGAGCAAACAGG
rnacentral:rRNA from 1 species